rnacentral:rRNA from 1 species
UACGGAGGGUGCGAGCGUUAAUCGGAAUUACUGGGCGUAAAGCGCGCGUAGGCGGCGUGAUAAGCCGGUUGUGAAAGCCCCGGGCUCAACCUGGGAACGGCAUCCGGAACUGUCAGGCUAGAGUGCAGGAGAGGAAGGUAGAAUUCCCGGUGUAGCGGUGAAAUGCGUAGAGAUCGGGAGGAAUACCAGUGGCGAAGGCGGCCUUCUGGACUGACACUGACGCUGAGGUGCGAAAGCGUGGGGAGCGAACAGG